rnacentral:rRNA from 1 species
ACCCGCUGAACUUAAGCAUAUCAAUAAGCGGAGGAAAAGAAACUAACAAGGAUUCCCCUAGUAACGGCGAGUGAAGCGGGAACAGCUCAAAUUUGAAAUCUCGCGGGGCGACCCGUGCGAAUUGUAGUUUAGAGAAACGUUUUCGGGGGCGACUUGGGUAUAAGUCCUCUGGAAAGGGGCAUCAUAGAGGGUGAGAAUCCCGUUUAUGAUCCAAUGUUCGCUCCCAUGUGAUACGUUUUCCAAGAGUCAGGCAGUUUGGGAUUGCUGUCUAAAACGGGUGGUAAAUACCAUCUAAAGCUAAAUAUUGGCGAGAGACCGAUAGCGAACAAGUACCGUGAGGGAAAGAUGAAAAGAACUUUGAAAAGAGAGUUAAACAGUACGUGAAAUUGCCAAAAGGGAAACGCUUGGAACCAGUAUUGUCUGCAGGUAAUCAACCGUGGGUCCCGAAAGGGGUGCGCGCGGUGCACUUGCCUGUUGGACGGGUCAACAUCAGUUUGAUCUGGGGUAAAAAGCCGGUGGAAGGUGGCUCGGAUUCUUUCCGAGUGUUUAUAGCCUCCGGUCAUGCCUCGGGUCGGACUGAGGACCGCAGCGCUUUUUGGAUACCCCAUCGCCUUCCGAUUCCAACCUGUAGACAGCUUGCUGACUGCGGGACGGGUUAGGUAGCCCGGCGGGUCUGUCACACCAGCGCUUUGGAUGUUGACGAAAUGGUUCCAAACGACCCGUCUUGAAACACGG